GUUAGAAUGCUAUCAAUAGCAAAUGGGCUCUAUUGCCACCCAUUUAUUUUCGAUGAUGGAGCAUCCAAAUCGACGAUCGGUACCGUUGAACAUUAUCUACACCACUGGAAGUAUCUAGAAAUCAAAUUUCAUACUUUUUCGAUAUUAUUCUCUUGUCCAUCAAGUGGACACAAAAUGAAUGGCUGAAAAUGAAUAUUCUUUAAAAAGUGAUGAUAGGGAUCUUAUAAUAAGAUCGAGAGUAUAGAUCUUGUUCUAAAUAGUUUAAAAAAUUUUCUAACAAAAAUUUACUUGAUUUUGAUAUCUUUACACCGUUAAAGAAAAAAACGUCUCAUAUCGACCUUAAAAUUACAAGUUUUAAAACCCUUUGAUCAAUAGGUCAAUGAUGUCGAAUAGAUUUGAAAUUUGGUUUCUAAAUGCUUCAAGUGGUAUAGAUCAUGUUCAACGUGCCGAUCGUCAAUUUGGAGGCUCCAUCAUCGAAAACAAAUGGGUGACAACGGAGCUCGUUUGCUACCGAUAGUAUUUUAGCUCAACUCUCUCUCUCUCUCUCUCUCUCUCUCUCUCUCUCUCUCUAUAUAUAUAUAUAUAUAUAGGGGCAAUUGCUUACAUACCCUUGAAAAGUUUUCAACUUUCUGAUUUACCCCUCUCAGAAGGCUAAUAUUGAAAAUACAUUUUUUACGUUCCAACAUAUUUCAAAUAUACCCCUAGAGUUAAAAUUUGUUAAUAAACUCUGUUAUCUGUAUAAAAUUACUAUUUUACCCUUUCAAAUAUACCCUUCCACCAUCACCGACUUUUCUUAUUUGCCCUUAAGUCAGAGGCACAAAAAAUAUUUUGACUUUCGUCUUUUCAAAUAUACCUUUCUACCAUCACCAACAUUUCUUAUUUGCCCUUAAAUUAAGGGCAACAUUGGAAUUUUAAUUUUUUUUAACU
rnacentral:lncRNA from 1 species